AAUGGACUAUUAUCCAGCCAUAAAAAAGAAUGAAAUACUGAUACACGUUAUAAUUUGGAUAAACCUUGAAAAUGCUGUGCUAAGUGAAACCUAGACACAAAAGGCCACAUAUUGUAUUAUUCCUUUUAUGUGAAAUCCCCAGAAUAGACAAAUCCAUAAAGAUAAAAUAGGUUGGUGAUUGGCAGGUAUCAGCAAUUAAGGGGGAAUGAGAAGUGACUGCCUAGUGAGCAUGAGAUUUCUUUUUGGAGUGGUGAAAAUGCUGUGGAAUUAGAUGGUGGUAAUGACUGUACAACAUUUUGAAUAUACUGAAACCACUGAAAUGUACACUAGAAUGGUUAAAAAUAGUGAAUUUUAUGUUACGUGAAUGUUAUCUCAGUUAGAAAAAAAUCAAUAGCUUAAAAAAAAAACCCAAACAAAAACAGAAAAACAAACAUGGUGGGUUAUACAGGAAUUUUACAGAAUAAAUAUAUUUCUUUUCAAGACCAGUCAUUAAACUGACUGAUUUCAAAAGCAAUAGCUUUUGGAUGGAUGAGUAUUGAAGAAAACCAAUUCUUUCAAUAGCUGUGGCUGUUGUUUCUGGCCAUACACAGAUAGUCACAGAUUUCUGAAUGGCUCUGUAUUCUGAUAGAGUUUCUAAACAAGCGUAACUUUUUAAUAAACCAGUAUUCCACCUUCAUUUUUCAUAUGUGCAUACUCAAUAAUGAAGACUGUGUUUUACAAGAUUCACCUAGAAACAAACAAUUUCCCGAUAUGAAAAGAAGCAUCUGAAUGAAUUAACAACAAAAAACAAUGGAAGACAACAUGCCCUAGUAACUGACUUCUUGUACUACAAUCAGGGGCUCAUUUAUCUUAAACAUGUCAACUUUUGUAAUACCCUGUGCCCUGUAUAGAAUACUGAGUGACAAUCAGACAGUGCUGUCAAGAAAGAAGGGAAACAGCAGGAAACGUGAACUAGACUGGAUCUUUAAAAAAAUCUUUGUAAGAGAAUGCAUAGUAGCCUGUGACAAGAAAUUUUUUUCCUUUAAAACAACCAGAAACUAUGCAAACACAUUGAGCAAAUGAAUCUUAACGGGUGAAAAGUACUUAAUAAUCCUUACAGCAUUUCUAAUAGAAUUUACCUGGCCCCAACUAAUUAUAACAACUUCUAAAUCCUAGAAGACAGUGAAUAAAACCCUACAACACCUUCCUUCAUUCUCAAACACUACUUGACAGAUAAGUUGCUUACAAAAUUAGUUCUACUCGUUUUUUGCUUUCACGCAGUUUCCCAGGUUCUUGCCUAAUAGUUGUAUUAAGAGUUUAAAUGGCUUACUAGAAGUUAUAUAUUGUUAAUUCUAUUUUUGCUGCCUCUUUCUAAAAUUAUUAAAAUUAAAUAGGUACUAAGAAACUGAAAUCGAUGUAAUCCCCUUUUCCCUCCAAGAGAUUCUAUUAUAAGAAGUUAUUUUAGGUGUUUGUGGGAAGCAAAAAAAAAAAAAAAAUCCUGAUGACAUCACUGUUCUAAGAUGGAACUUCUAAUAUUUUAGGAAUCUCUUGGGAGUUCUGUUCCCUAUUCUGUCAUUGAUUUGCUUUCUGACCUUGGGAAAGUUUAAGUAUAAAAAGACAAGUGCAAAGGAAAGUUAUGAAAACAAGACUGAGAUCAAAUGAAGAACAAAGAUGGAGUAGGUCCAUAACUGACCCACAUUCCUUGAGCUUACAAUAGAUCUCCAGGAGAUGACCACUACGCAUGAGGACAUAUUUAUCAACAUGCCUUGCCCAGUUGCUGCAGGAAAGAGGAAAUACUCUCUUAGCUCUUCCUCGUUUGAUUUUCAGAUGAUUCCAGGAAUGUUCUGCAUUGGUAAGUGGCAACAGGAUCCAGCUAUAUGUCAUUUAAGCCUAAUCUGGGGGCUCAAAAAGGAUUUUGGGUAGUUUCUGCAACCAAAUAGUAUUUACAAUACAGAGAAACAGGCCUUGAAAUCAUAGAACCUUAAGACUAGAAGGAACCUAAAAGUUGUUUAAGCCAAUCUUCCAUGUUUAAAUAUUCUACAACAAUCUUGGUAAGCAUCCAUCCCAUAUGCUUGAUGCUGUCAAUGAACAGCUUCCCACAACCUCCUGGCUGGUCAGUUUCAAACUCAACCACAUGAUUGCUGACUACUGAAAGCGUUCUGCCCCAAAAGGAAGGACAAUGAAAAAGCAGCUUUUCUAGGCAAGUCCCGUGUAUCUUCCAGUUAUGAAUCUAAAAGAUAAUAAUUUCCCUAUUUCACCUCCCCCUGACCUAAAUUCUUAUGUCUCUUGCCUCAAAUAUGAGGAAAUAAUAUUUUAUCUUCCAUGCCUAUUUGGCUUUAAUAUAUGAUAUUAUCACCAAAGUAAACAGCUCUUAACGAGCAUGCUGUUCCAGUAAUUCCUUGACUGACUGGUUCAAUGUGUGUAUGAGUCCCUUCCUGUAAGAUAAAUGUGCUAAAAAUGACUGGCAAGUGCGUUAAUAUUAGUAGCAAAUAAACUCAAUUAAAUACGAGUGUGAAAACUUUUGACAUUGGCAGAGAAGAGUAUUCUUAGCAUAACAGGGAAGUUUAUGGAAAUCAUAGAAUAUCCAAAAUUCUAUUCACCUCUUGGGUCAUUAGAAGUUGUAGUUUUGCUGUUAAGGUAAAUUACUCAUUUUUUAAUUAGAUAACUAGACACCGCUUUUCUUCAACUCAACCUUAAAUACAUAAUCCCAUUUUCCUGCUCCUUAUCUAGUUCAUGUUUGUAUACCAAACAAGAGCUAUGUUUAACCUAUUACUAAAGUUUCCUUUUUCUGUUUUUUUUUUUUUUCAAUGAAGACCUAGUUUUACUUGCACAUUUUUCACGAGCAUCAAAUAGUGGAUGAUCUUUCAAGCUUGAACAGCAACAGUUGUAUUGCUGAGGAAGGAUUUCUUGUUUCAAAUUGUCUAGGUAAUGAUUUACAGCUAUUUUUGGUAAUUCUCAAAAUGACAGCUCCUUGAAUUUUUCUGUAUGCAGAAAAAUUUGCUGGGCUAGCAUCUUUCAGACCCCGGGAGGUUCAUCCCAAUCCUUGGCAUGUGGGAUCAAGGGAAUGCUCUGAAAUCCUCGCUGUAGAGGGAAUUGACUUGUCCAACAUUAUCUUGUGAUACAUGUGAAUGUUUGACGAGGUAACUCUAAAUAUCUGCGGACUCCUGAGGCCUGAGAUUUGUGGCAGGAUGAACCCAUGUGUUGGGUGAUAUUACGUAUAGGCCUUAGGCCUUCCAAGACCAAACCUGAUAAGUUGAACCUAUGAUGAUGGUUGAGCUCCUUUGAAGAGGACUCACAGUACUUUGCAGCAUCUUGCUUCAUACAGUAUUCAAUAAACGGUUGCUAAAAAGUGGAAAAGAGGGCCAGGCAUAGGGGCUCAUGCCUGUGAUCCCAACCCUUUAGGAGGCUGAGGUGGGAGGAUCACUUGAGCCUAGGAAUUGGAGACCAG
rnacentral:lncRNA from 1 species